GACGAACCGUCCAAACGUUAUUCGGAAUUACUGGGCUUAAAGGGUUCGUAGGCGGCCUUGUAAGUGAGCUGUGAAAUCCCACGGCUCAACCGUGGAAGUGCAUUUCAUACUGCAAGGCUUGAGGGAGACAGAGGUAAGCGGAACUGAUGGUGGAGCGGUGAAAUGCGUUGAUAUCAUCAGGAACACCGGUGGCGAAAGCGGCUUACUGGGUCUCUUCUGACGCUGAGGAACGAAAGCCAGGGGAGCGAACGGG
rnacentral:rRNA from 1 species